rnacentral:lncRNA from 1 species
AAUGCCUUAGCAGUCAGAUUGAAAAUGUUAUCUUAUCUGUCAUCUAGAGAGAUCCUACUUUGUUCAAUUUCAAUAUGUCAAAACUGAUUUAUAAUUCUCUUUGCAAAGAUGAAAUACCUCAAAUUUAUUAGACAGUAGCCAAUUAAUAAAAACAAAUUAAUUGUCCAGAUAGCUAAUUAUUGGUUAAUUGGCUUAUGAAAUGAUAAUAUUGAUUACUGAUUACCUACCAUUUAGAUACAUAAGUCAAAUGCUUUCACCUUUUUUAUGCUAUUAGCACAUCCUAUGAUAGCACAGUCCCCUCUAUAAUUCCAACUCUGUAUCCUUGUCAUAGAAGUGUGCAAUAGGAGUAGGAGUCUCAACUUUGAGUUCCUUUUCUUGGCUAAAGGAGCUCUGGUUCUACCCAAACCAAGAUAUAAGGUCAUAGUUGAGUGGUAUUAGGAUAUUAAAAGAUGCAGUUUUGAGAACAAUCCUUUUGAGGCACCAAGUGAAACUUCAUUGUAUUUAGCCUUCCACUUGUAUUGGAGGAUAAUCAGAUGGCGAUAUUUUUCUUCCUCCAAUUUUUUGGAGGAAGAAAAAUAGUAGCACUGUAUCGUUCCUAAAAACAAAUCUUUGGAUGGUAAGUCUGAGAUCCAUCUUUUUUGGGCUAAAGAGAUAGUAAUGAUAUCAGAGGCUUUCAGCUACUGGGAACAUUCUCAACUAGCUAUCUUUGGGCCAUCUGCUGGCAUCUUUGAUGCCAGUAAGAUUACUAGAUUUGUAAAUUCUGUUUUUCCUUUUGGGGGUAGUAACCUACAAACAUCAUUUUCUGCUUUUAUCCUGAGUUAUAUUUUAUUGAGAUGGAUUUGGGAAUCUUUAAGGUACUCUUGCAAGGUUUGCAAGAGUUAUUGCAAAGUUUUUGAGGGAUUCACUGGGACUUCAAGUGCACCACUUAGGGCAUCUGUAUUAUCAUGAAUCCAAGGUUAGUGUAAAUCAAUCUCUAGCACUCUAGAGUCACUUCUGUUCUUUUGGUCCUUCUUGAGAGCUGUUAUGACUUUGCUUUUACUCAAGAUCAUUAGCAUUAUAUGGGCCAAAUUCAAAGACUUAACUAUAAAAGGAACCUCUAAAGGACCUCUGAAACUGACUAUUGUGUAUCUUUUUCAGAGAUAACAUGAAUGUUUCACCUAUGCGGGAUUUCUAUACUAGAGAUCUAAUAAUCUUACAAGGUGAAGCUUGGAGGAAAUUAUGGUAGAAAGGAAUUUAUUUUUUCCUCUGCUUAUAUUCCUUAUGAUAAGGAUGAACUUCCACUAACAAUUUUUGUGCAUUUUGUGAAAUUCUGUUAACAGAAUCAUUUUGAUUUAUUGG